AGACCCCAAAACCCGGGGCAGAUACAAUAUUCUUUUUGGACUAACAUCUGGUGGGCCUUACAAUUAUAAUGGAACCUCAAAGUGGUUAAGGAGUCUAGAUCAACGUUUACGAGAAAGCAUUGAUUAUGCUAUAUGUUUGAAUAGUAUUGGUUCCUGGAACGAUGAAUUGUGGAUUCAUGUCUCAAAGCCUCCAGAGAACGCCUACAUAAAACAAGUUUAUGAAGGGUUAUCA
rnacentral:misc_RNA from 1 species